UAGCAAGGUAGGCAAGUCUGGUGCCAGCAGCCGCGGUAAUUCCAGCUCCAAUAGCGUAUAUUAAAGUUGCUGUAGUUAAAAAGCUCGUAGUUGGAUCUCGGGAUUGAGCUGACGGUCCGCCGCGAGGCGUGCCACAGUCUGUCCCAGCCCCUGCCUCUCGGCGCCCCCUCGAUGCUCUUGACGGAGUGUCCCGCCGGGGCCCGAAGCGUUUACUUUGAAAAAAUUAGAGUGUUCAAAGCAGGCCCGGUCGCCUGAAUACCGCAGCUAGGAAUAAUGGAAUAGGACUCCGGUUCUAUUUUGUGGGUUUUCUCCUCUGAACUGAAGCCA